UAUGAAGCCGGACUGGGAAUAGGGCCUCGCUGCCUUGCCCGUCUGGCGCCAUAUUCACCCAUGUCUUUUUGCGUACUACUUGUUUCCUUGGCGGGUCCGCCCGCCAAUUGGACCUUAUUCAAACCUUUUUUUUCAGUUGCAAUCAGCGUCAGCAAAACAAAUGUAAUCAAUUACAACUUUCAACAACGGAUCUCUUGGUUCUGGCAUCGAUGAAGAACGCAGCGAAAUGCGAUAAGUAGUGUGAAUUGCAGAAUUCAGUGAAUCAUCGAAUCUUUGAACGCACAUUGCGCCCUUUGGUAUUCCAAAGGGCAUGCCUGUUCGAGCGUCAUUUGUACCCUCAAGCUUUGCUUGGUGUUGGGCGUCUUGUCUCUCUCCCGAGACUCGCCUUAAAAUCAUUGGCAGCCGGCCUACUGGUUUCGGAGCGCAGCACAUUAUUUGCGCUCUUGUCCAGCCGCGGUCGCGCGUCCAUGAAGCUUCUUUCAACCUUUUGACCUCGGAUCAGGUAGG
rnacentral:rRNA from 1 species